rnacentral:rRNA from 1 species
UACGGAGGGUCCAAGCGUUAUCCGGAUUUAUUGGGUUUAAAGGGUACGUAGGCGGAAAUUUAAGUCAGUAGUGAAAGCCCAUCGCUCAACGAUGGAACUGCUAUUGAUACUGAUUUUCUUGAAUAUAGUUGAAGUGGGCGGAAUACGGCAUGUAGCGGUGAAAUGCAUAGAUAUGCCGUGGAACACCAAUCGCGAAGGCA